UACGUAGGGCGCAAGCGUUGUCCGGAAUUAUUGGGCGUAAAGAGCUCGUAGGCGGCCUGUUGCGUCCGCUGUGAAAUCCCGGGGCUCAACCCCGGGCGGGCAGUGGAUACGGGCUGGCUGGAGGCAGGCAGGGGAGAACGGAAUUCCUGGUGUAGCGGUGAAAUGCGCAGAUAUCAGGAGGAACACCGGUGGCGAAGGCGGUUCUCUGGGCCUGUACUGACGCUGAGGAGCGAAAGCGUGGGGAGCGAACAGG
rnacentral:rRNA from 1 species